rnacentral:rRNA from 1 species
CCUACGGGAGGCUGCAGUGGGGAAUAUUGGACAAUGGGCGAAAGCCUGAUCCAGCCAUGCCGCGUGUGUGAAGAAGGCCUUCGGGUUGUAAAGCACUUUCAGUGGGGAAGAAAGCCUUGGGGCUAAUACCCUCGAGGAAGGACAUCACCCACAGAAGAAGCACCGGCUAACUCCGUGCCAGCAGCCGCGGUAAUACGGAGGGUGCGAGCGUUAAUCGGAAUUACUGGGCGUAAAGCGCGCGUAGGCGGUCUGAUAAGCCGGUUGUGAAAGCCCCGGGCUCAACCUGGGAACGGCAUCCGGAACUGUCAGGCUAGAGUGCUGGAGAGGAAGGUAGAAUUCCCGGUGUAGCGGUGAAAUGCGUAGAGAUCGGGAGGAAUACCAGUGGCGAAGGCGGCCUUCUGGACUGACACUGACGCUGAGGUGCGAAAGCGUGGGUAGUAAACAGGAUUAGAUACCCGAGUAGUC